rnacentral:miRNA from 1 species
GCGCGCGCGCGCGUGUGUGUGUGUGUGUGUGUGUGUGUGUGUGCUCUGCCCCCCCCCGCCAUCCCAAUGCACUCACCCCUCCUCAG